AACGCAACUGGCGCUAGUAAAACUAGCAUACUUGUUUCAGUGUGCCUAAACACUUAUAACAAACAAAAUGUGAGAGAAUUUCUCUCAUGAAGUAAAUGCUCCCAGCAGCAGUCACAAUCAUUUGUGGUAAAGCUAAUGGGUAGAAAAAUGACUUUAUUUGCACCUGAAAUCAAGUAAGAUGACCCGCUGGACUUAA
rnacentral:misc_RNA from 1 species